CACGUAGGGGGCAAGCGUUGUCCGGAUUUAUUGGGCGUAAAGAGCUCGUAGGCGGUUCGGUAAGUCGGGUGUGAAACCUCCAGGCUCAACCUGGAGACGGCCACCUGAUACUGCUGUGACUCGAGUCGGUAGGGGAGCGUGGAAUUCCUGGUGUAGCGGUGAAAUGCGCAGAUAUCAGGAGGAACACCAGCGGCGAAGGCGGCGCUCUGGGCCGGAACUGACGCUGAGGAGCGAAAGCGUGGGUAGCAAACAGG
rnacentral:rRNA from 1 species